ACGAACGCUGGCGGCGUGCUUAACACCUGCAAGUCGAACGGAAAGGCCCUGCUUUUGUGGGGUGCUCGAGUGGCGAACGGGUGAGUAACACGUGAGUAACCUGCCCUUGACUUUGGGAUAACUUCAGAAAACUGGGGCUAAUACCGGAUAGGAGCUCCUGCUGCAUGGUGGGGGUUGGAAAGUUUCGGCGGUUGGGGAUGGACUCGCGGCUUAUCAGCUUGUUGGUGGGGUAGUGGCUUACCAAGGCUUUGACGGGUAGCCGGCCUGAGAGGGUGACCGGCCACAUUGGGACUGAGAUACGGCCCAGACUCCUACGGGAGGCAGCAGUGGGGAAUAUUGCACAAUGGGCGGAAGCCUGAUGCAGCAACGCCGCGUGCGGGAUGACGGCCUUCGGGUUGUAAACCGCUUUCGCCUGUGACGAAGCGUGAGUGACGGUAAUGGGUAAAGAAGCACCGGCUAACUACGUG
rnacentral:rRNA from 1 species